GGAGGAGCCAAUGAUGGAGACCUAGGUGGAGGAGGCGGCAAAUCUGCAGCUGGAGGAGCCUGCAGCUGGAGGACCCCGUGAUGGAGGCGUAGGUAGAGGAGGCCACGACAAGGAGUGCCUCUUUCCACCUGGAAGGUAAAUCUUGUUUCUUUCUCCAUGUGUUAUGCUUAAUUCGCUUAUUAAUUUGUAUUCAUUCCCUUAUUUGAUGGAAUGGUUGAACCAAGAAACUGAAAAGCUAAGCUAGUUAUCCUUUUUUUCAUCUUUUGUUGCAUUCAAGUAAUGAAAAUGUUAUAAUCUGUGUGCCUACCAUGUGAUUUAUGGAAAUGCUCUUGGGUGUCCAUAUUGGUCUAGCAUUUUCUUUUGCACAAGUAGUUGAUGCCAGUUUUUGGAAGAGAAAUCAACCACAGAUUUUGUAAAAUUAUUAGAUGCAAGACCUAUGGAUAUCUUAUUUGUGUGGCCGUUGAUGCAAGACCUAGGACAUAUUAUUAUGUAGCUGUGGAUGCAAAAACUAUGAGCAUCUUAAUUGUGGCUAUUGAUGCUAGCUGUGGGCUUCUAAUAUGUAUGUCAUGUGGAUGAUGACAAAUUGAUGCAAUAUAUUUGUGUUCUAGCUGAAUAGUAUAGAAUUGUGAAUAAGAUUCUUUUCUGGUCUGGUGAAUGCAAUUGUAAAAAUAUAUUUUCUGUCAGUUUGUUUGAAUUAUCUUGUCGGUGGAGAGUCGACAUGGAAAAUUUUUAUUUU
rnacentral:lncRNA from 1 species